ACUACGGGGGCAGCAGUGGGGAAUAUUGGACAAUGGGCGAAAGCCUGAUCCAGCCAUGCCGCGUGUGUGAAGAAGGCCUUCGGGUUGUAAAGCACUUUCAGUGGGGAAGAAAGCCUUGGGGCUAAUACCCUCGAGGAAGGACAUCACCCACAGAAGAAGCACCGGCUAACUCCGUGCCAGCAGCCGCGGUAAUACGGAGGGUGCGAGCGUUAAUCGGAAUUACUGGGCGUAAAGCGCGCGUAGGCGGUCUGAUAAGCCGGUUGUGAAAGCCCCGGGCUCAACCUGGGAACGGCAUCCGGAACUGUCAGGCUAGAGUGCAGGAGAGGAAGGUAGAAUUCCCGGUGUAGCGGUGAAAUGCGUAGAGAUCGGGAGGAAUACCAGUGGCGAAGGCGGCCUUCUGGACUGACACUGACGCUGAGGUGCGAAAGCGUGGGUAGCAAACAGGAUUAGAUACCCCUGUAGUC
rnacentral:rRNA from 1 species